AGAGAAACAAAAUUCACGUAAAACAAUCCAAAAGAAACACAAUUGAUAAUGUCCUCGCUGACGUUGAAACCAACGUUUCUGUUACAGGCAUAUGGUUCUUCGUCUUCGUCGUCUGCCGGAAGUCGACGGCUUUGUUCUCUGAUUAGCUUCCAGAAGAAAACAUUUCGCAAACAAAAAUUCACUCUGAGAGCUCAAUCCCUCGAUUCACCGCAAAAUAACAACGAAAACGAUACCAAACCUCCAAAUGGCUCUAUGCACAAAAGCAGAAGGGAAAUUCUACUGGAGUAUGUGCAAAAUGUACAACCGGAAUUCAUGGAGUUGUUUGUGAAAAAAGCACCACAACAGGUAGUUGAGGCAAUGCGCCAAACAGUGACAAACAUGAUUGGAACAUUACCUCCACAAUUUUUCGCCAUUACUGUAACCACGGUCGCUGAAAAUCUUGCUCAGCUUAUGUAUAGUGUCUUGAUGACUGGAUAUAUGUUUAGGAAUGCUCAAUUUCGGUUAGAACUGCAACAAAGUCUGGAACAGGCUGCCCUUCCUGAAGCACAGGAAGAAAAGGAUUCACCAGAUUAUGCAUCUGGUACCCAGAAAAAGGUGACUGGAGAAGUCAUAAGGUGGAAUAAUGUUACAGGUCCUGAAAAAAUAGACGCGUUGAAGUAUAUCGAGUUACUUGAAGCAGAAGUGGAGGAAUUGAAUCGUCAAAUGGAAAGGAAAUCUGGUAAUGGUUAUAAUGAGCUGUUGGAAUAUCUAAAGACUCUUGAGCCUCAAAAUAUCAAGGAGCUAACCAGUACAGCUGGAGAAGAUGUUGUGCUCGCCAUGAAUUCUUUCAUUAAGCGUCUCUUAGCUGUUUCAGAUCCUAGUCAAAUGAAGACUAGUGUAACAGAGACAAGUGCCCCAGAACUUGCCAAACUUCUUUAUUGGCUCAUGGUGGUUGGUUAUAGCAUCCGGAAUAUUGAAGUCCGCUUUGAUAUGGAACGGGUACUAGGCACUUCUCCAAAGCUCGCUGAGCUGCCUCCUGGUGAAAAUAUUUAGGCAUCUCUGGAAAGUGUCUAAUCUAUAGCAAGCAUUAAAACGUUGAAGCAACAUACAUUUUUCAUGAGCUUUACGAUGGUCAAUAGUAAAAUUUUAUCAAGCUUGUACGACUAUCUGGGAGGACAACAGUGGAAAUUGGUUUUAGUGCAUUUUCUUCACUCACUCCCAGCCCCGCUCCCCCUAUUAUUCUCAGUUUGGGAGCAUCAUUAAGACGCUCAUACAAAGGAAAUGUACUAUAAAUUGAUGCACAAUGUAACUUAUGUGAGUUAAUUUGAUUCAUUGCCCUCUAAAAU
rnacentral:misc_RNA from 1 species